UUGGUACUUUUUAUUUUUAUUUUUUAUUCCUCUGUUGGAAUUUUCGCAUUGUUCAUGGAUUGUUUUGUUGAGUACCUUUUAAAAUCAUUUUGCAUUCUGUGUCAAGUAAAUCAUAUCUCUGUCUCAUUAGUGUUGGUUCCAAGAUAUUUAUUUUUUUCCAUUUUUAUCUUUGAUUUAAGUGGUGUGUAUAUGUGUAAGAAGAAAGAGCUACCUCUUCCAGUCUUUAGACACAGCCUCAUAAAGGGAAAGACUCACCAAUCAAUCUGAGGGCCUCAAACCAUUUUUCCAGCUGACCUGCUUUCUGUUUGUGGUACCUUCCAGGCAACCAAAGUAAGCCAGGUCUCCUCACAAGUCCAAGUCAACUCCUAGGUCACAAUAAGAAGGCCUUCACCAGACACAAGAUGACAGAACUUUGAUCUUAGACAUCCCAGCCUCCAGAAUGGAAACUGAAACUUACAAGGAUCAAGCACCAACAUCGCAGAACUAAGAUACAGCAGAGUAAGGACUGCAUGCAGAUCUGGGAAGCAAAUGAAGAAUGAUGAACAGAUUCAUGCUUGGAUUGUGGCUCACACUGAAUAUGAAGAGAAAUGACUAAGCAUGCUAGCAUUAGAGAUCAACUGCAUAUUAUCCACAUACUUGUAAGACACAUAAAAAAAUAAAGCAACAGAAAAGGGGGAAUUCUAAAUAAAUUUAACAAACGAUAUGUACCUUUCAAAACUU